CCCUAUCUAUCCAUUUCUUGCUUUCGUUCGCUCUUUCUCUUAUGCUUUCUCUGUCGUCUCAUUUUAAGUCAUAAUUAAUAGCUCUAUUUCUCAUAUGAAUACUCCUCCCACUAUCUCCGCUUUUGUUGCUCUAUCGAUUUAUUUCCCCUUUCACCUUCUCCUCUAUUCAUCAUAAUACGACGUCAAUUAGUAUCGACAGCACUCCGUUCGGACUGGAGACGAAGAUAACAGCUUGACAACACAGAGAAACUCGGUGAAUUUUAUCGACUGGUCAUUAAACUUUCUGCUUUAAGUAUUUACCAAUUCACUGUCCCUAUCAUUCAUUAUCUCUAUCCUCUCUUACACUAUUUCCACCCUUCUUUUUUUUUUUCCCUCAGUAGCAAGACCCAAUGGCGACAUAGCAACUGCAAAUAAACUUCUAUGAUCUAUUCAUGAAAAGACCCAAGAUUAUAAAAGUGAGAUUAUUUAGCAACCGGAUAUGACGUAUAAACGCACUAAACAUCGCAAUUUUGUAAAAGAAUUUCUUGCAAGCAAAGACAAAAUUGUCAAGCUCGUUAUACUCACGAUUUAAGUUCACUGACAGAAAAAGAAGGAACAACAGAAACGCUAUAUUCACAGUUAGUUCGGUGACAAGCUGCCUACAUCCGUUUUUAGCUGUACACCAAGGCAAGUCCGACAGGAUGGGUAAACAAUGAGGAAAAGAAGUAAGGAAAAAAAAAAAAACAGAAGAAAAGAAGCCAAGAGAGAAAGAGAGAGAAACAUCGAAAAGAAAGCAAACGCGCGCGCGCACGCACACUUUGAGAAUAAGCUACUUAUUGUAGUUUGUGUCUCAGUGAUAUUAAGCAAACAGAUGGAACUUAUUUCAGAGGUCAGGUUUCCUUUGUACUCACUUUAUUAUUCAUUGUAACAAAUCUAAGCAUAAGCAUCUUAGAAAAGCCAAAAAAAACAAAACAAAAAAAAAACAAAAAAAAACAAAAAAAACAAAGACGCAUUUGCAUACCUAAUAAUAUCUAAUACAGAUUCGACGCAAUUGAAGUUUAAUCGAAAUCAUGAGUAAAGCGAAAUAACAGCGAUUGUGGUGAUGAUGAUGAUGAUGAUGAUGAUGAUGAUGAUGACGACGACGAUGGUGAUGACGAUGAUAUGAUGAUGAUGAUGAUCAUGGUAGCGUUGCUGUGUAUAUUUUCAUACUUGUAGUCACUAGACAGCUGUUACGCUAGGACAAAACUCUGAAGGUUUCGGUCAAACCAGUCUAUCCAGCAUUUGUUUUCAAUCGGAGAAAAUUUCACUGAAUCCGGGAUAAGACUAAACCAUCAGCAUCAGAAACUGUACUGCAUCGGACUCAAUAACAACUACCUUAAGACCAGGCUCCUCCGGCAGCCAAGAGUAGCAAGGGCACUUUUCUUUUGGUAUGCAUGCUAAAAUUAUCACCCCAUUUAGUCCAUUUUAGAUGAAGAGUCCUUUCCGUAGUAUAUAGACUGUACCCAUCAAGGUUAUCUUUUGUAGUUCACGGAUAUUGGAGUUACCAGGGAGUUGCAUAAUAUACUUCUCAGCUCCUUUCUUUAUCAUU